CUCUGACAUGAGAGAAGUGGAGUCCAGAGUGGAGACCAGCGAGAGGCAGUCACAGCAGCACCAGAAAAAGAUCACCCAGCUGGGAAUGAAGAUGGAGGUUGCGCAGAUGCUGCUGCAGGCCAGCAAGAAACAGGUGGACAGACUCCAGGAGGAAAACACAGUCCAAGCUUCUGAGCUCCGGGACCUUGCCAUGAGGUCAAAUUCCACUGAAGGCCUAGUUGAGGAACAGCAGACUGCUUGGGGAACACUGGAAUAUGAAACACAGACACUGAAGAAAGAAAAUGCAGUCCAAGCGACUCAACUGAGAAACAUGGAGGCCAAGUUGAAGGCUGCUGAAAACCAGCUGGAGCAAGUGAAGAC
ensembl:lncRNA